AGUAAUAUCCUCGUAGUUUGCCAGCAUGUGGGGCCACCAUAACAGGUGAUGACUUCAUCAUGUAAGCUAAGAAGAGGAAUUGAUUGAUGAGGAAACUGAGGUGGAACACAUGCAGACAUUACUAAUCUACGUAGACCUAGAUCUAUGAUACCUUCAAUUGCUGCUAUAUCAUUUGAUAUCAUGGUGAUAGGAACUGAAUUGAGAAGAAAUCGUGGUCAGAUGUCAUGGAAUUAAUUUGAGAAUAUGGCGAGCAUAUCCAUGCACUAUACAGUUUGAGAUGAAAUUGUUAACCUGAUUUUCCUGAAUUUUGAGGUGAGCUCUAGUCAGAUGUACUUCAAUUUUGGUAAGGUUUAUUCUAAGUUAUUACUUAUAUCUUGUCUUUCAAAUAUUCUUCUUAUCUGUAUUGAUGGAAGAGGCCAGCAAAUGAUAUUCUAUCUAAUUUUUAAUUCUUGUAAUUAAUACCAAUAAACACUUCAAUUAUUCAA